CCUACGGGGCGCAGCAGUGAGGAAUAUUGGUCAAUGGGAGAGAUCCUGAACCAGCCAAGCCGCGUGAGGGAAGACGGCCCUAUGGGUUGUAAACCUCUUUUGUCGGAGAACAAAACCCGGGACGUGUCCCGGACUGCGUGUAUCCGAAGAAAAAGCAUCGGCUAACUCCGUGCCAGCAGCCGCGGUAAUACGGAGGAUGCGAGCGUCAUCCGGAUUUAUUGGGUUUAAAGGGUGCGCAGGCGGCCUGUUAAGUCAGCGGUAAAAGCCCGGGGCUCAACCCCGGCGAGCCGUUGAAACUGGCGGGC
rnacentral:rRNA from 1 species